GUAGCCACAAAUAUGUUUGAAUUGGCUGUCAUAGUUUUGGCUCUUAGCAGCGCUGUAAAACAAUUUUAAUUAGUGGUCAACUUUCAAAGAUUUGUUAAUUUCACAUAAAAUAUGGACUUUUGAGUUUUCCUUAAAAAGUCAUAUUAGCUGGCAAUAUUGGGUUUGCAUUCUUCAUAGCAAAAGCAACAAAAUGCAAGUCUGAUUCUCACCUUGGAGGGGCUUUGCACUCCCAUCGGUUGCACUUCUCAUCAUUCAAUGAUCUUUUCCCUGACACUGAAGAAAGAGAGGCUCCGUUUUCCUUGUCUGGGGGUUUCACCAUGUUGGCCAGGAUGGUCUUGAUCUCUUGACCUUGUGAUCCGCCUGUCCUGGCCUCCCAAAGUGCUGGGAUUACAGGCGUGAGCCACCACCCCUGGGCCACUUGUGUCUUAAUUCCUCUUGGUAGUGCAUUUUAGUUUGUGUCACCCACCUCUCACCCAGGAUUGACUGCUCCUUCUUCACAAGGGUCUCUG
rnacentral:lncRNA from 1 species